GAUCAUGGCUCAGGAUGAACGCUAGCUACAGGCUUAACACAUGCAAGUCGAGGGGCAUCAGGAAGAAAGCUUGCUUUCUUUGCUGGCGACCGGCGCACGGGUGAGUAACACGUAUCCAACCUGCCCUUUACUCGGGGGAUAGCCUUUCGAAAGAAAGAUUAAUACCCGAUGGGAUAAUGAUUCCGCAUGGUUUCAUUAUUAAAGGAUUCCGGUAAAGGAUGGGGAUGCGUUCCAUUAGGUUGUUGGUGAGG
rnacentral:rRNA from 1 species